AACAAAUAGUGGAGAAUUCAUACAAUCUCAGGUUUGAAGGUACAAUAGGGUCUCAAUUCCUGGAAUAUCCCUGGGGUACCAUGCUUGUCCCCAUGUCAUUAAAUGUCUCCCUUGAUCUACUUGACUCUCAAACAUUUCCUGGAUUGAAUUAAGUGGCCAUUCCAUUGAAAGGUCAUUAGAUCCAGCACCUAUUCAUAGUGUUCUCUUGAAGUGAUGGCCUGAAGUGCAGAAAAACAAAGCAAAUCUAGAGAACUGACGCAUGUGACCACACAUAAUAAAGUAUCAUGCACCAAAUGCUCAAAUUUCUUAUCGAACAUUUUUAUAUAAUUUUUUUUAAUCAAAGGUGUAGCUCCUGAGAUUUGGAGUUUCUAAUGAAAAGGUAUUCUUUUCUAACAGGUAAUGAAUUGGGAAAUAAGACAAGAACUAAGGCAGACAAGAAAUCUAAGUAUCACCUACAUAAUCGAUAGAGAUUGAUUGUUCACAUCACUUGUGAUCUCAAGCGAUCUCUAUGGAAUCAGUUGCAUUAUCUGCCACAAAUCAUCAUGUCAGCAGGGUUUUCAUUCUCAGUCAAAAUUACAGACUUCUUACCUAUUUGUGGGGAAAGUGAACACAGGAGUGUGCUGAUGAGUUUCAAAGCUGAACACAUUGAUUCAUUUCCAGGGAAGAAAAAGCAGCUACCUGGUGAUUACCACAGAGGGGAUUUCGAUCAGCAUGGUGAGAGGAGUGAUUGCAUUUCCUCCGCAUCCACUCAGUCUUCCCUUUGGCUUUUGAGAUAUGCAGAGGACUGAAAGGCAAGCGAAGUGAUGGCUUCCCUGACUCAGCCCUUUGGGUACCUCUUUACUUUGGAUAGAACUGGGACUUUAGGAAUGAGAUGCUUCUCACUGAUUUCAUGAAACACCAUCUUCUCAAAGACAAGCUCUCAUCCAAGGGCAUUUACCAAAGCAGCUCUCCAAGCAAAAGCAAAGCUCAGGACUUGAGUUGGGCACAUGGGAGCACACACUUCCCAGUUGUUUUGUGGAGACAUGUGACGAAUUCUGGCCAAUAAGCUGUGAGUAGAAGUAAUGUGUCAUUUUCAGAUUCUCAUACUGAGGCAAUGAGAAGCCCCUGCAUAACUGUGGGGGCCAUGUGUGGAAAUGGUGAAGACACAUGUAUCAGAGGCUGUGAUGUACCACCUAGACUGCCACUUUGGAAGGAUCACUCACUUCUCAGCUAAGUUGCUAACUGGCUGCAGGCUAUAGACAGCUGAAUACCUCUUUGGGAAUUGCACUAGCUAAAGCGAGUUUCCAGGUCCAAGGUUACACUGUCCGUAUAAGACAUGCUGUAUUCAAGGUACAAUCCUCUUGCUUCAACAGAGAUAACUGAAGAAAGAAUGUCAAGACUCCUUGGGGCAACUGCAUUUAAAAUCAAUAUUUCCCCCUGCCUAAUUCUGCUUCUCUCCCUCCCUUACGGAUGUUGUUCCCAAGGGCACCCCCCACCAGCCCUUUUGUAUGUGUAUAUCUACCUCAGUCUGUUUUCCAGGGAACCAUAACAAAGAUUAAAAAUUUACAGAAGAAUUUUUAAUCUUUGUUCUGGUUCCCUAGGGAAUUGAACAAUGAGAACACUUGGACACAGGAAGGGGA
rnacentral:lncRNA from 1 species